rnacentral:rRNA from 1 species
CGAAUGCUGACAUAAGUAACGAUAAAGCGGGUGAAAAGCCCGCUCGCCGGAAGACCAAGGGUUCCUGUCCAACGUUAAUCGGGGCAGGGUGAGUCGACCCCUAAGGCGAGGCCGAAAGGCGUAGUCGAUGGGAAACAGGUUAAUAUUCCUGUACUUGGUGUUACUGCGAAGGGGGGACGGAGAAGGCUAUGUUGGCCGGGCGACGGUUGUCCCGGUUUAAGCGUGUAGGCUGGUUUUCCAGGCAAAUCCGGAAAAUCAAGGCUGAGGCGUGAUGACGAGGCACUACGGUGCUGAAGCAACAAAUGCCCUGCUUCCAGGAAAAGCCUCUAAGCAUCAGGUAACAUCAAAUCGUACCCCAAACCGACACAGGUGGUCAGGUAGAGAAUACCAAGGCGCUUGAGAGAACUCGGGUGAAGGAACUAGGCAAAAUGGUGCCGUAACUUCGGGAGAAGGCACGCUGAUAUGUAGGUGAAGUCCCUUGCGGAUGGAGCUGAAAUCAGUCGAAGAUACCAGCUGGCUGCAACUGUUUAUUAAAAACACAGCACUGUGCAAACACGAAAGUGGACGUAUACGGUGUGACGCCUGC